rnacentral:lncRNA from 1 species
CCUCAGCUUUGUUGAUCUCCUGACGCAAAGACUCUUUUUCAGAUACGGCGCGAAGAUAUUGAGUACUUUUGGCCUUCAGUUCAACAUUCUUGGCCAGCAAGGAGAGGACCUCGGAAUGGAUAACUUUCAACGUCGCUUUAAAAUCAGCAGAAAGAUUGAGCGACGGAAGUGUCAGUGCUUGCUCCAACUUCGCAUUCAAAUGCUCAAGCUUAUCCUUAUGUCUGGCAGCACUAGCCUUACCAAUGUCCAUAUCCAUGAAGGACACGUACUCAAAUAUCGACUGCUUGAGGAACUUCAUAUCUUCCUCUGAAGAAGUAGCAGGACGACCAGAUGGAGCAGGGCGAGAUGUCUUGACUUGCCCCCAGGAAGCGAACAAGUCUUGGAUGGAACGCACAAUCUUAUCAGCAUCCUGCAAAGAAAAUUGCCAAUACUGAAGAUUCUCACUACAACGAACAAGAUGGAAAUAAAAGUGAAGCAAAUAUUACCUCAUCAAUAAUCUUGGAAGAUGGUAUAUCCUCAGCCAAGUCUGCCACCUGUGGCUCCACCAUUUGCGAGGACUUUCCCUUGUCUGAGCGAG